GCCUCUGCCUCCCUAGGUUCUAGAUUUCCUUUUCAGUUGUUUCCUUGCUGCAGUUACUACAGGGACUGGAGCUCAAGAAUGAAGCAAAAUAACAAAAUAGAAUGCAAAGGUGGCCUCUGUCAGGGACUCAGAGGCAGGGCUCAGGGACAGAGAGUUUUGAGCCUGGACGGCCCUGAGAAAGGAAGGGUCCAGCGUCUGCUCCAGAGAACUCACUGCCGCCACCCCGGUGUGCUGUCGGAUGACUGAGGGAUGAACCGGAAGCUGCUGGCAGCCGGUGCCUUGGAGCAGAGAGGAAUGUGGGUUUGCCGUAGCUUCUGUGUCAGCUGACUGGAGCACAGGCUGAUUCGGCCGUGGCAGGGUCAGUGCUGGCCCCGUGAGCAGCUGGCUGGCUGUGCCAUCAGCCUGGGUCAGGCCCCAUGACUGAACUCAAAGCCAGGAGGAGCCCUGAGCUUCUGUGGGCAGGCGUUGCCAAGGCUGUGGCUGCAGAGAAGGAUGAAACCUACCCAGACUACCCUGCUCUGAGACUAUCAGCCAGUCCCCUCACCUUGGCUGUAGCUUGCCCAAGUCCCUCCAUCUUGAACGGCUUCCUUCCUGCCAACCAGGAAGAACGCUUAGGUCUCCUUCUGGUUACCCCAAGCUGUGUACACAUUCCAUCUCAGUGUGUCCUGCACCCCAUGUGAACUCUGCUUAGAAGCUUGCUGGCUCCCCCACCCCACGGUGCUCACACCAGGCACUCCUCCCUUCCGGGUCUCAGCUGGUCCUGAGGUUCUGUUUCACUCCUCCUGGGUCUACAGCUCCUUUCCAGCUCACUAGCCCUGUCCUCCCCUCCCUGCCCUGCACCCAUGCAAGGCACCUACCUGACAGGUGGAUCUAAUUGUGCCAAGACUUCUGUGCUGUGUUCUCCCUGUCAAGACAGAGAAGGAAGGACUGAAAGGCUGUGGGGGGGGCUGGGUGUUAUGAGCUGAUGCCUCAAAAGGCAAACUGGAGUGUUGACGCACAGGACCCUGUUUGGAGACAAGGCCUAGACAGAGCCAUCAAGUUGAAAUGAGGUCACUAAAAUGGGCUCUAACCUGGUAGGAUUGAUGUCCAUGUACAAAGGGGAGGGCUGGACAUGGGAACACAGGUAAAGGGCAAGUAAAGACACUGGCACUCCUGCUCCCUACCAGCCCCCAGAGGAAGCCAGCCCUGCUGCCAUUUGACCUUGGCCGUGUAACCUGCUCAGCAGCCUAGUGCUGAAUAAGCUGAGCUUCAGCACUGUGCUCCCAGGCAGCUCUGGGACAAUAACAAAACAGCAAACACUGGCACCACAUAAGGAAAUGGCCCCUGAGAGGCAACCAGAGAGCCCGUGACUGGGGCCAGGGACCAGCGGGCUGCUGGGAAUGGUACAAGCUUUGUAUAACCAGGGCUUCUGACCCUUUGGGGAACCUGGCCACCUAAAUGCCUCAUCUGCUUUUUGUUUGUUUGUUUUGACUUAUUUGUGGGCUCUAUCUGUAUGUACAUCUGCAUGACAGAAGAGGGCAUUAGAUGCCAGUAUAGAUGGUUGUGAGGCACCAUGUGGUUGCUGGGAAUUGAACUCAGGACCCCUCGAAGAGCAGAGAGUGCUCUUAACUGCUGCUCCAUCUCUCCAGCCCCAAUCCCUCAUCAUUUAAAUGCAAACACACACACAAAGUUUUGAGGGACAGAAUUAGCCCAAAGGUUGUUAGACUGAUACCUUUAGGACAGGAGUUAACAAAGCACAGACAGCCAAUGCCCAAAUUUGGCUAGGGACCAUAAUUAUAAUAAAGCUUUAUUGAGACACAGCCAUGCUCACUUACUAAUGUACUGACUGAAGGGGUUUUGCCCAUAAUGGCAGCACCAAGAAGAUGUCAUAUGCAAAGGCUGGGAAUUUCACUGCCUUCUCCUUGGUAGGAUUGGCAAAAUUAGCUCAUCGAUGGAUCUAACCCCUCUGUCAGGCAGGAAGAGGCGUUGGUCACAAGGAUCCUCCCCCUCAACCGCCUGUGCCUCCAUCUAGCGCCCCAUCUUGUUACUUGCUACAUUCAUUCUCAGUGCUCACAAACGCUCUUCUCCAGCAGACUAAACCACCUCCAUUUUCAGGACGGUCUGUGCACACAGGGACACGGGUUUUCUGCAACACCAUCUGGACUGACCCCUGGAGGCCAUCUCACCCACCUGCCCAGUGAGCUCCUUCUUGGUCAUCAGGCCCCAGCUUCCGAGUGUCUCCUCCUUGGUGUGGCCUUACGACGACAUCCCUGUCCCGCCCUUGCUGCUGGACUCUGCACGCCUGGGGGAUCAAGCAUCAAGACGGCAGACCAGGCUCAAGCUCAGCCUGAGACUUGCAAAAGCCACCCCAUGGGCUGAUGCUGAACUCAAGAAUCCACUGAAAGAGGGAGGGGAUGGGAGAGGAAUGAGGCCGCUGGGAAGCAGUGGUAGUCUGCCGCCUGCAUGUUUCUGGGCACCCUGCAGCCUCCCUUAGGCCCGAGGAGGGAGUCAGGCUCCUUACACGCGCUCCUGCUGGGGCUCGGAGCUUUCCCACUCACUGUCUGGUGGCUGUGCCCGCCAUUUGCAAUCCGCAGGCAAAGAGUGAAGCGUGGAGCCAUCCCUACUACGGCAGGACACACGAGCCCAUCCUUCCUACUGGGGGCUGGCUCAGGUGCUCAUCCAGGGUAGACAAAUUUUAAUUCAGAACGUGGCCGCUCUGCCAAGAGAUCACAUCCAAAGACCUUCUACUUCUACGUGAUCUGGCUGGAACACAAAUACCUUUAAUCCCAGGGGACAGCGGCAAGCAGAUCUCUGAGUUCCAGGCGGUGACGUUCAGGUAGUUCAGUUGAGAGUGAGUUUGAGAGGCAGUGCUAUGGAGUUAAGUUCAUGGCAGUUCAUUAGUGGAAUCCAGAGGCAGUUUUUACCAGGACAGCUUUUCAGAGAUAGGUCUCAGAGAGAGAACAGGCUAGACACGGGUGAAGACAGAACAAGCCAGAGAACGAGAAGGAGCCAGAAGAUUAGAACAUAUUGCCAAAGUUAGUAUGAGGCCAAGCAGAGCAAUUCAGUCAGAGGCUGAGAGAGAAGCCAGCUUGAUUCAGUCAGCUUGGAGAGGAGUUUAAGUCAGAACAGCUGAGUUGAACCAGCCAGCCAGACUUCAGAAAGAGCUAGAAAGAGCUUAUUCAGCAGCAAGUCUCAGAGGCCGAAAACAUUCCAAGCCUAGAUUAGAGUGUAUGGAGGCUAGAAGCUCCCAGGACUAGGCCUAGGUUAGCAGAUGAAGACAAUUGGCCUCCAAGAUGACGAUUGCCUCAGGCAAACAAAAGCUUUUUAUAAUCUAUCGCUAGAACUCUCAAAAGAACGGUGUCUGGGCCGGUUGUGUUGGCGCACACUGGUGGGAUUUGCUGAAGGAGGCAGAGGCAGGAGGAUCACGAGUUCGAGGCCCGCCUGGGCUACACAGUUUUUUUCCUUUCCCAAUCUGUAAGUAGUAGUAUUAAAAAAAAAGAAAAAAAAGAAAAAAAAAAAAAAAGAACAGUGUCUGGGAUGGUAGAGGAAGUAGAUGAGAUGAGGCUGUGCCCUGGGAGGGGAAGUAUGCCUUGUCUUGCUCUACCUGUUUUCCUUGCUUCGGCCUGAGGUAGAGUGUGCUUCCCCAGCCCUUGGCUUCGGCCCGGCCCACAGGACCUGCUUUGGCAAACAGCAGAUGUGUAAAAGUGAUAACUCUGAAGCCAACCUCAUGAGGGACCACGUGGGUUUUUGUUUGUUUGUUUUGUUUUUUCACGAAUGGCCUUUCUCUGGGAUGGUCCCACCCUACUGGCCCAAUGCCCCAGGAAGGUGAAACCCAGCCACCCAGGCUAUGGUACGCUGAGGUGCUAAGACCCACACCAUUAACAGGCAUAGCUCUGCCUCACCUUAUCUCAGAGGGGGAAGCCUGGAUCGUACAGACGGCCACCUGGACAGGCGAUGUCACAGUGCCCCCUUCAUCGGGAAUUCACCCCAAGAGCACACACCGCUCUCAUGCUUGAAACUGCAGACAGCCUACCAAGCUCCGUGUAAGAUGUCUCCCCACAUUCUGCAAGGCCUACCCCGCCUGGCCCUCAGGCUCCAGGCCCCGGGGGCAUUACUCGUCUUACGUUUUUGUACUGGCUGGUUUUGUGUCAACUUGACAGAAGCUGGAGUCAUCAAGAGAAGAAGGAGCCUCAGCUGAGGAAAUGCCUCCUUGAGAUCCAGCUGUAGGGCAUUUUCUCAAUUAGUGAUCAAUGGAGAGGACCCAAACCGUUGUGGAUGGUGCCAUCCCUGGGCUGGUGGUCCUGGGGUCUAUAAGAGCAGGCUGAGCAAGCCAUGGGGAGCAAGACAGUAAGCAGUACCCUUCUAUGGCCUCUGCAUCAGCUCCUGCCUCCAGGUCCCUGCCCUGCUUGAGUUCCUGUCCUGACUUCCUCCAAUGAUGGACUGUGAUCCAGAAGUCUAAACCAAAUAAACCCUUUCCUCCUCA